CCUUCGAGUGGCAGCAGUGAGGAAUAUUGGUCAAUGGACGAGAGUCUGAACCAGCCAAGUAGCGUGAAGGAUGACUGCCCUAUGGGUUGUACACUUCUUUUAUAUGGGAAUAAAAUGUUCCACGUGUGGGAUUUUGUAUGUACCAUAUGAAUAAGGAUCGGCUAACUCCGUGCCAGCAGCCGCGGUAAUACGGAGGAUCCGAGCGUUAUCCGGAUUUAUUGGGUUUAAAGGGCGCGUAGGUGGAUUUUUAAGUCAGUUGUGAAAGUUUGCGGAUCAACCGUAAAAUUGCAGUUGAAACUGGCAGUCGUGAGUACAGUAGAGGUGGGCGGAAUUCGUGGUGUAGCGGUGAAAUGCUUAGAUAUCACGAAGAACUCCGAUUGCGAAGGCAGUUCACUGGACUGCAACUGACACUGAGGCUCGAAAGUGUGGGUAUCAAACAGGAUUAGAGACCCUUGUAGUC
rnacentral:rRNA from 1 species